CAUCUACUCCCUCCGUUCCAAAUUACUUGUCUUAGAUUUGUCUAGAUACGGAGGUAUCUAGCACUAAAAUAAGUCUAGAUACAUCCGUAUCUAGACAAAUUCAAGACAAGUAAUUCAGAACGGAGGGAGUAGGAA
rnacentral:pre_miRNA from 1 species